UACAGAGGGGGCAAGCGUUGUUCGGAAUUACUGGGCGUAAAGGGCGCGUAGGCGGCCUGUUAAGUCGAACGUGAAAUCCCCGGGCUCAACCCGGGAACUGCGUCCGAAACUGGCAGGCUUGAAUCCGGGAGAGGGAUGUGGAAUUCCAGGUGUAGCGGUGAAAUGCGUAGAUAUCUGGAGGAACAUCGGUGGCGAAGGCGACAGCCUGGACCGGUAUUGACGCUGAGGCGCGAAAGCCAGGGGAGCAAACGGG
rnacentral:rRNA from 1 species